rnacentral:rRNA from 1 species
GAUAAGAUGAUCUUUUCGGAGUGAAUCUUUGCUGACGAGUGGCGGACGGGUGAGUAAUGCUUGGGAAUCUGCCCAAUAGUGGGGGAAAACUCGGGGAAACCCGGGCUAAUACCGCAUAAUCUCUACGGAGGAAAGAGGGCCUCUACGUGUAAGCUCUCGCUAAUGGAUGAGCCCAAGUCAGAUUAGCUUGUUGGUAAGGUAAUGGCUUACCAAGGCUACGAUCUGUAGCUGGUCUGAGAGGAUGAUCAGCCACACUGGGACUGAGACACGGCCCAGACUCCUACGGGAGGCAGCAGUGGGGAAUAUUGCACAAUGGGCGCAAGCCUGAUGCAGCAAUGCCGCGUGUGUGAAGAAGGCUCUAGGGUUGUAAAGCACUUUCAAUAGAGAAGAAAAGCUUGAAGUUAAUAUCUUCAAGCCUUGACGUAACCUAUACAAGAAGCACCGGCUAAUUCCGUGCCAGCAGCCGCGGUAAUACGGAAGGUGCGAGCGUUAAUCGGAAUUACUGGGCGUAAAGCGAGCGUAGGGCUGUUAAUUAAGUCGAAUGUGAAAUCCCCGGGCUCAACCUGGGAACUGCAUUCGAAACUAUUUGACUAGAGUAUGGGAGAGGAAAGUAGAAUUUCCGGUGUAGCGGUGAAAUGCGUAGAUAUCGGAAGGAAUACCAGUGGCGAAGGCGGCUUUCUGGAACAAUACUGACGCUGAGGUUCGAAAGCGUGGGGAGCAAACAGGAUUAGAUACCCUGGUAGUCCACGCCGUAAACGAUGAGAACUAGAUGUUGGAAGGAUUGGCCUUUCAGUGUCGCAGCUAACGCAAUAAGU